rnacentral:rRNA from 1 species
UACAGAGGGGGCAAGCGUUGUUCGGAAUUACUGGGCGUAAAGGGCGCGUAGGCGGCUUGCUAAGUCAGACGUGAAAUCCCCCGGCUCAACCGGGGAACUGCGUCUGAUACUGGCGAGCUUGAGUUCGGGAGAGGGAUGUGGAAUUCCAGGUGUAGCGGUGAAAUGCGUAGAUAUCUGGAGGAACACCGGUGGCGAAGGCGGCAUCCUGGACCGACACUGACGCUGAGGCG